rnacentral:rRNA from 1 species
UCCGUAGGCGGGCUAAUAAGUCAGGGGUGAAAUCCAACAGCUUAACUGUUGAACUGCCUUUGAUACUGUUAGUCUUGAAUUAUAUGGAAGUAGAUAGAAUGUGUAGUGUAGCGGUGAAAUGCUUAGAGAUUACACAGAAUACCGAUUGCGAAGGCAGUCUACUACAUAUAUAUUGACGCCAAUGGACGAAAGCGUGGGGAGCGAACAGGAUUAGAUACCCUGGUAGUCC